CUCGUAGGUGGUUUGUCGCGUUGUUCGUGAAAACCGGGGGCUUAACCCUCGGCGUGCGGGCGAUACGGGCAGACUUGAGUACUGCAGGGGAGACUGGAAUUCCUGGUGUAGCGGUGGAAUGCGCAGAUAUCAGGAGGAACACCGGUGGCGAAGGCGGGUCUCUGGGCAGUAACUGACGCUGAGGAGCGAAAGCGUCGGGAGCGAACA
rnacentral:rRNA from 1 species